UAGUCCACGCCGUAAACGAUGAUUACUCGCUGUAGGCGAUACACAGUCUGUGGCUAAGCGAAAGUUUUAAGUAAUCCACCUGGGGAGUACGAUCGCAAGAUUGAAACUCAAAGGAAUUGACGGGGGCCCGCACAAGCGGAGGAACAUGUGGUUUAAUUCGAUGAUACGCGAGGAACCUUACCUGGACUUAAAUGUGCGUUGCAUAGAUCAGAGAUGGUCUUUUCUUCGGACUACGUACAAGGUGCUGCAUGGUUGUCGUCAGCUCGUGCCGUGAGGUGUCAGGUUAAGUCCUAUAACGAGCGCAACCCCUGUUGUUAGUUGCCAGCGAGUAAAGUCGGGAACUCUAGCAAGACUGCCGGUGCAAACCGCGAGGAAGGUGGGGAUGACGUCAAAUCAUCACGGCCCUUACGUCCUGGGGCCACACACGUGCUACAAUGGUAGGUACAGAGAGCAGCCACUUGGUGACAAGGAGCGAAUCUAUAAAACCUAU
rnacentral:rRNA from 1 species